rnacentral:rRNA from 1 species
UACGUAGGGUGCAAGCGUUAAUCGGAAUUACUGGGCGUAAAGCGUGCGCAGGCGGUUGUGUAAGUCUGUCGUGAAAUCCCCGGGCCCAACCUGGGAAUUGCGAUGGAGACUGCACGGCUAGAGUGUGUCAGAGGGGGGUAGAAUUCCACGUGUAGCAGUGGAAUGCGUAGAUAUGUGGAGGAACACCGAUGGCGAAGGCAGCCCCCUGGGAUAACACUGACGCUCAUGCACGAAAGCGUGGGGAGCAAACAGG